CAGAAUUGGACAACAAUGUGGCGCCUGCCAUUGGCCAGGGGAGGCAGACGGCGCUCUGAUUGGCCGGGCCCGCGCCCGGGGAGCCCCGCAUUCUGCAGUGUCCGAAAGAUUCGAAACUCCAAAAGCUCCACUGCGUGCCUCUGGGAGGGGAGGGGGCGCGCCAGGAAAGGAGUGGAAAAAAGUGGGCGAGGAGGAGCGUUGAAAAUUUCCUGACAAGUAGUUUCCGUGCGCCCGAGAGCGUGUGAAUUGCUCCUAAUUACCGUGUCCGAUUCUCUUAAACUCAGGACGCGCAUCGGUCUGUCCGACCUUCCCGGCAAGAGACAAAGUCACUGCUGGGAGGCCCCCUCGGACAGUUUUCAGUUUUAACUUUCGCCUUAUUCUCGUCUUGUCUUGAUGUCACGGCCCUGAGGAACAGCUCGUUCUGCAGAAGAGGUAACAGGUUUCAGAUUUUGUUUCCUUUUUGAAAGGCUGUUGCCUUUCAAACAUCUGGAAUUAAUGCCGCGGCCCUCGGGCGAGUCGCCCUCGGUUUCUGUAGCUCUGAUUUUAUCUCUGUGUCUUUUCCCCUCUAAUUUCUAAAGUUCUGUUUUUCCCUCUAAUUCUGUUUUUCCCUCUAAUUUCUAAUGUUCUGUCACUCUCGUUUUUGUUCUCUACUUUUCUCUCUCUCCUUCAGAAUAAAGAAAAUUCGUUUAAAUAAUGAGGAAAAUGAGCGUUCCUGUCGUUCUCCCUCCACUCUUGACCGUGCGUCUCUGCGUUGCUCUUUCGAACCUCCAGGCCGGCGGGAAUCUGGGCGCGCAGACUCGGCCCGGGUCGUCGCGGCCUCAGGACGCAGCCCAUUCCGCCUGGCACGACUACUGGGCCGCGUCUUGUCAGUCUAUCAGCUUCUGAGCCCAGGAAUGGGGGUGGGGGAAGGACGGUGCGACUAACGGGCCCCCACCCGAAGACCGCAGAACCUGGCGCCCCGGAAGAGCCCUGGAAGAUGCCCACCGGGAGGCUGAGGCUGGAGGGAGGAGUGGGUGGGGGUGAUUCGCUGGAGGACCGGGCGGAGAGCUUCCAGAAAGUUCACCAGGCCCCGGCGCGAGGGCGCUCCGACACGGACAAGGACCCAGACCCCACCUUCCAACACCUGGAGGUUCCGAGGCCAAGUAUGUCUAGCCCCGGCUGCACCUGGGUAGGUGAGCCAUGGGGUCGGGGGAAGAGCGCCGACAACCGCCGGAUUCCGCGCAGGGGCCGCCAGGCGCCUGCUCCCAGAGCUCCUUUGGACAAAGUUUUC
rnacentral:lncRNA from 1 species